rnacentral:rRNA from 1 species
GAUGAACGCUGGCGGCGUGCCUAAUACAUGCAAGUCGAGCGAACGGACGAGAAGCUUGCUUCUCUGAUGUUAGCGGCGGACGGGUGAGUAACACGUGGAUAACCUACCUAUAAGACUGGGAUAACUUCGGGAAACCGGAGCUAAUACCGGAUAAUAUUUUGAACCGCAUGGUUCAAAAGUGAAAGACGGUCUUGCUGUCACUUAUAGAUGGAUCCGCGCUGCAUUAGCUAGUUGGUAAGGUAACGGCUUACCAAGGCAACGAUGCAUAGCCGACCUGAGAGGGUGAUCGGCCACACGGGAACUGGGACACGGUCCAGACUCCUACGGGAGGCAGCAGUAGGGAAUCUUCCGCAAUGGGCGAAAGCCUGACGGGCAACGCCGCGUGAGUGAUGAAGGUCUUCGGAUCGUAAAACUCUGUUAUUAGGGAAGAACAUAUGUGUAAGUAACUGUGCACAUCUUGACGGUACCUAAUCAGAAAGCCACGGCUAACUACGUG